rnacentral:rRNA from 1 species
CCUACGGGAGGCUGCAGUAGGGAAUAUUGCUCAAUGGGGGAAACCCUGAAGCAGCAACGCCGCGUGGAGGAUGAAGGUUUUAGGAUUGUAAACUCCUUUUGCUAGAGAAGAUUAUGACGGUAUCUAACGAAUAAGCACCGGCUAAACCCGUGCCAGCAGCCGCGGUAAUACGGAAGGUGCAAGCGUUACUCGGAAUCACUGGGCGUAAAGAGUGCGGUGGCGGGGUAAUAAGUCAGAUGUGAAAUCCUGUGGCUUAACUACAGGACUGCAUUUGAAACUGUUACUCUGGAGUGUGGGAGAGGUAGGUGGAAUUCUUGGUGUAGGGGUAAAAUCCGUAGAUAUCAAGAGGAAUACUCAUUGCGAAGGCGACCUGCUGGAACAUUACUGACGCUGAUGCACGAAAGCGUGGGGAGCAAACAGGAUUAGAUACCCUAGUAGUC